GUUAUGUCAAUUAAAUUCACACCCGUACAAAAACUACAACAAGCAGAUUUUAACUUAAGACUCGAAUUUUGCAAUAUAAUUUUUUAGAUAACAUUUUCAAAAUAUAAUUGGACCAAUGAAUCAAACAACGUCUGCGGUGUUAUUUAAUAGAAAAAAUACGCAUUAACGGAGUUCAGAAAAUUAAAAAUGUGUUUUUUUUUAAGUAUACAAACAUGGGCGAAGAUCCGUGAAAGUAUGGUGCGCAAUCUGGAGAUCUAAAACUUUAGGACCCAUAAUUUACCAACAAAAUUUAACAUCCGUACGAUAUUUAAACUUAUUAAGGAACGAAAUUCGGCCACUUAUACAUAAUGAAAGGAUUGGACAAAACAAAAUCAUCUCCUGGCCAGCGAGGGGUCCAGAUUUGACCCCGAUGGACUUUUUUUUUGUGGUGCACAUUAAAAAAUAUGGUUUACUAAGAUAAACCGUAAACAUUUUUGGAAAUGCAGCAACAAGUUUGCACGGCAAAAGUCUAUCUGAAUGAAACGAAUUACGUCUCAAAUGCCAUAUACUAUUUAGAAAUAGCAUAUACUACUUGUAUUCUUCAAAAUGGCGGGCAUAUUGAAAAACUAAUUUAAUUAAUGGUACUUGUAAGUAAUAUGCAUUAGUAGUUAUUGUUAAUUUUUUGUACUCAUUUCACGUAGACAUUUAAAUGUAUAAAUAGGUAAUUUGCGAAAUUUGGCAACAUUGUGCAAAGGUUAAUAUUCUGUUUUUAAUAUGACUGCUUAACAAUGCUCUUACACGGUUCUGAAUAUGUUGAUAAGGAACUAAUUCGUAGUUUCAUGGUUUAAUAAUUUAUAUCUUAUACCCAGUCUUUUAUCUGCCAGCUAAGCUAAAACGGUAAGUCAGAGACCUGUACCCAAUAAUAUACAGAGUGGCUCAUUUAAGAAAAUUAAGAAAAGUAUAAUUUUGCGAAAAGUGGCAACACCGCGAAUUUUAAGAAAAUAUUUCAUCAUUGCCUAAAAGAAACAUUAUUUUCGUAAAAAUAGUAGAUGGAAAAAAGUUUAAUAAGUUAAUAAAUGUAACUUUGUUUUACCCCCCGUAUAUAAAAAUGUGACGACUAGGAAAAUAAAAAAUAAAUAAAAAGAAAAUCAUUUUAAUGGAAACAAAUUUUUAUUUCAUUUUUUUUUUGUAACCUACGUAGGUUUCGAGAUUUUUCGACAUUUAGUAAUUUUUUUUUGACAUAUUUGACAAUACAAUAUUCUUGUAAAACUGGAAAUUUCGAAGAUCGACAAAGGGCGGUGUUACAAAUGCAGAAAAUUCUUUAAAGUCUAUGAUAAAUAAGUUUGAAAAUCAGACACAAAUCGAGCUCUUUAGAUAAUACAAUUUUUCUACCCCCGUCUGUAAAAUACCUAAUUACCCAACGAUCUAACGUGCGGGAAGCGUCAUUUUACCACGUCAGUUUCGUUUCCCAUGAAUUCGAGCCACUUCAGACAUUUCAGGGAUUUGACCGCACGGGUUUGUGAGCAAUCGGAUGUUUUCGGAGCCUUGGAUUUUGACGUGUGUCAAUUCCGACAAUGUCAGUGAAUGUAUUCGUGUUAUUUUGCGAAAAUGUACCAAAAACUAACGGUCGUAGAAAAAGUAUAGUAUGCAACACGUUCGGUAAACUUUUUAAGUCGCUCGUUUAUUAAACACUCGCUCCGCCCGUUUCAAAUAAACUCGUGAGUCAAAUGCCGAUUACCGGACUUGUAGCAUAAUAUACUAUUAACACACCAAAAAAUUGAUAAACGGGAAUGUUCCAACCGUAUUGAAUGCAUUAGUUUUUUCCUGAUGCUACAAAUGCAAAUUUCUUCUUCCAAUCAAAAUGUAUACCAAUGACAUUAUUUUUAAAUUUUAAUGUACCCAGUGCCAACAUAUGAAUCACGUUCUAAACGCUAAUUUAUUUAAUCAAGAAAUGGCAUUCCACAGACUCAAAGAAAAUUCGACGUUGUUAAGCGUGUGUGGAAGAACUCUGUGCUCGGUGUGUACCGCAACUCGCUUGCAACUUGCUUGCGCUUGAAUUUUGUCUAUUGAAGACCUAUUGACUGAUUUAAGUAUUCUUAUAAGCAAAAUACAUGUUUGAAAUUAUUUCAUUGAAGUUCAUUUUGGAUGUGAUUAAAGUCAUAUACUAAAAAUUAAACGACUGAAUCGAAAGACAAACGGACAAACAUCAGUUACAUCCUCUGGGAUGCUGACGGAGACAACCAAGGGAUAAUUAUUAGGUAUUAUUAACCUCGUAGUUUUAACCUCAGUUUUUACAGGUAAGAGAUUCAGCAUAAACCCAAGCUGGGAGCAGUUCCAUCAUUGAAGCUCCCUCUAACUCCUCCACAGAAACACAUUCUGCCAAGUUUGACUGUCCAUCCAUUUGUUGUUAGCCGCAGUCUCCUCGGGUGUUCUUUUAUGCCAUGUGCAACUUUCGUAUAUUUUCCAAUGAAAAAUAGUUCCGACUCCUCUCUGCGAUAAUAUUUUUCUAACUAGUAUUAUAAUCGAUGUAAGCUGUCUCAUUUUUUAACAGAAAACUUUAAGCAGGUAGCGAAACUGCAGACGCCUUCUCGGUGGUAAAAAGAGACGUGACAGGCACGGCCUGCCGGAUUAGGGAGAUCGUCGGUCGCAGAUAGUUGAGAUGACAUGGUGAUACGCGCCUCUUCGACAGUCGCCUCAACUAAUUCGAUACCGAUAACGAUCGCCUGACAUCGCGUUCCGUCAAUGCGUUUGAAGGCGUACUACGAUGGUAUACUUCUGCAACUUGAAAGGAUUCACAGUCCGAGAGUUGAAGGCAGAUUUCACAGCCAAGUUUAUUUAUUUUCCAGUUCUGAAAUUAGUAGUUUCUUUUUUAUAGUCCCGCACUCCCAGGAAAACAUACCAGUAUCUGUUAUUGUGACUUUAGACAGUAGUUUUGGAGGUAGUUUUCACUUAUCUUUGAAGAUAAAAAUGUGGAUUUCGAAUUUCCUCAGCGCUUUUCAUUUUUUGACAUUCAUAGUCAGCGCUGUUCCCAAAAUAAGUAUACGGGGUCAUAUUAAAAAGUUAUCACAGCCUUCUUUAUUUUUUCAAUCGAAUAUAUACAGUAGACGGCUAAAAUAAAGUAAUUUAAACAUCAUGUAUUGGACUUCAACAAAAAAUUUAAAAUGAACACAUAGGUAGUAAAAUAGUUCUUAAAUUGUCACAAUUACAUUUCUGUCCUCUCGCACUCUGCACUCUGGUAGUUUCUCUCCAAAAUCCAAAUCAGUCUGAUAUGCCAGAUAGACAUAUUUGGUUCAACAGGAUUGUUGCUCCGCCCCCCAAUUGGCUGGACAAGCGCUUGAAUAUUUCAAUAAUGUACUUUCCGGACAGCGGAUUGUUAGAAGGGGAUCAAUGAACUGCACGAUCUCAAGGCGUCAGUGGUCAGCAUAACCUAUCAGAACGUCGCAUCUUGCAAAUUGACAGCAGCCACUACGGACAAAGAGUUGGACCUUGAAGAUGUAACAAUGCCAACCUUCCAAAUCGCUAUUGUUUCGAUGCUAAGGCAGACGUCGUGUAGAAUAAUUACAGUUAGUUACAAAUAUAUUUUUUCUUCUCCAACUUUACCAAAACUCAUCCGAUUCUGUCAAAAAUUGAUUAAAUACUUUGAAAAUAGUGAAAAACCAGUAUACAUCCACAGUUCAACCAAGCGGCUAAUCAAAAACACCGAUUUUUAAGAUUUGCUCGUUUUUACAGACCGUCUCUCUGUAUAGAAGCUAUAGAAUAGAGUAUAGCCAAAUCCAACAAAAGCGUUUGAAAUUGAAGCAAACCAUCAACGUUCUUCAAACCUCUGUUUACGAAAAAGCCUCAACAUCUAAAUAAGGGGCUGUUUUGGCUCCCCUUUCGAAUAAGUCGGCGUCCGCUAAAAGCAUAUCUGUGUUCUAUAAGAGGCUAAAGUGAAUUUGGACAGAGGCAGAGGCUGCCGACUCGGCGCGGAGGAUGGGAAAAGAAAACCGGGGAGCAGUGCCGUACGAAGAGACGAUAUUCCCUAAAUCAACAGAGAAAAAAUCUCUCUCUCUCUCUCUCUCUCUCUCUGUAGAAUAAAUUAGUCGAAAAUAGGACUGUUUUUAGGAUGUAGAAUUUAAAUGCAAAACCUUAAAAUAGCCAGAUUUAUUAAAGCGAUGGGAAAAUGAAACCACAUUUCAUCAUAGUCUCUAUUAAAUUAUUUUUGCUGGUGUUGAUGGGUACACAGCAACGACAACCACGGUAACUAAUAGGGCCGCUUUAUGUUGCAUUUAGCUUCAUAUUUUCUCACAUCGCUGGUAUAUUUAUAGUAGUGUUUAAAAAGUUAAAACAGUUUCAGUUUUGACAGUAGAAAAUAUUUCCUGUGGCAUGAAUUUUUCCAAAAUAUUUUAAAGUGGUUUCUCCCGUAACGGAUUCGAUCCUGCAAAAUUUGUAUGUUCAACUUGUCAAUUUUUUAAGCAUUCACCAACAAUGAAAGCCAUAAGGCCGCAUAUGCGCAAUAUUAAAGCUACAUAAUGUGUGUUCACCAGGAAUCAUCUUUUUUAAUUUUCAUUUCUGAUCGAUUUUUAAUUAUUUAUACAAAGGUUACA